GAUGAAGAACGUAGCGAAAUGCGAUAAGUAAUGCGAAUCGCAGAAUUCAGUGAGUCAUCGAAUCUUUGAACGCACAUUGCGCCCUGUGGUAUUCCGCAGGGCAUGCCUGUUCGAGCGUCAUUUCAACCCUCAAGCUCUGCUUGGUGUUGGGCCCUGCCCGCUACGGCCGGCCCUAAAGACAGUGGCGGUGCCGCCUGGCCCUGAGCGUAGUACAUCUCUCGCUCCAGUGCCCGGUGGUAGCCUGCCAGAACCCCAACUCUCGUGGUUGACCUCGGAUCAGGUAGGGAUACCCGCUGAACUUAAGCAUAUCAAUAAGCGGAGGA
rnacentral:misc_RNA from 1 species